AGCGCAACCCUUGUCCCUAGUUGCCAGCAUUGAUUUGGGCACUCUAGGGAGACUGCCGGUGAUAAGCCGGAGGAAGUUGGGGAUGACGUCAAGUCCUCAUGGCCUUUAUGUCCAGGGCUAUACACGUGUUACAAUGGGGGUGACAAAGAGUGGCCAAGCUGCGAAGCUGCGCAUAUCUCUAUAUACCCUCUCAGUUCGGAUCGCAGUCUGCAUACUCGACUGCGUGUAGUUGGAAUCGCUAGUAAUCGCGGAUCAGCACGCCGCGGUGUAUACGUUCCCGGGCCUUGUACACACCGCCCGUCACACCAUGGGAGUUGACAGGGGCAGAAGACGUUGAGCGAACCGCAAGGAGGCAGACGUCUAAGCUCUUGUCGAUGACUGGGGUGAAGUCG
rnacentral:rRNA from 1 species